rnacentral:rRNA from 1 species
ACAGCAGCAGCCACGGGAAUACGAAGGGGGCUAGCGUUGUUCGGAACCACUGGGCGUAAAGCGCACGUAGGCGGACCUUUAAGUCAGGGGUGAAAGCCUGGAGCUCAACUCCAGAACUGCCUUUGAUACUGGAGGUCUCGAGUGUGGAAGAGGUUGGUGGAACUGCGAGUGUAGAGGUGAAAUUCGUAGAUAUUCGCAAGAACACCAGUGGCGAAGGCGGCCAACUGGUCCAUUACUGACGCUGAGGUGCGAAAGCGUGGGGAGCAAACAGGAUUAGAUACCCCCGUAGUCCCUGUCUCUUAUAC